UACAGAGGUGGCAAGCGUUGUUCGGAGUUACUGGGCGUAAAGGGUGCGUAGGCGGCGGGGUAAGUCGGAUGUGAAAUCCCGGGGCUCAACCCCGGAACUGCAUUCGAUACUGCCUUGCUCGAGUACUGGAGAGGAGACUGGAAUUUACGGUGUAGCAGUGAAAUGCGUAGAUAUCGUAAGGAAGACCAGUGGCGAAGGCGAGUCUCUGGACAGUUACUGACGCUGAGGCACGAAGGCCAGGGGAACAAACGGG
rnacentral:rRNA from 1 species